CGCUCGUUUUCUAUCUCCCACAAAUCCAGAAGAGGUUUUUGGAACUUGGUGCAAGCCUUUUUAUAUUUAUUUUUUCUCCUUUCUCACCUCUGCCCCAAUGUAUAGAAGGAACAGAAAGGGACUGGGGAGUGUGGUGGGGGAAGCGCAGUACUGUGGUGCUAGAACCUCGAAGAGUUGGGAGAGGUUAGGAAAGAGGAAGAAGCGAGUGUAGAGAGAAAUAGACUCAGUUUAUCAAAGCAGGACUGGACGCAAAGGGUUACAGAGGGAAGGAGAGAGGGAAAGAGUGAGGGAGGAGGAGAGAGGGAAGGAAAGAGAGGAGGAGGAGAAAGGGAAGGAGAGAUGGAGGAGGAAAGAAGAGGAGGAGGAGAGAGGGAGGGGUAGAGAGAAGAGAAAGCACAGGAAAAAAAGGAAGGAGAGAGGAACCCAGAGAAAGAUCGAGUUGGGAGGGGGGGGGGAGAGAGAAUGAGAGAGAGAGCGCGGAGUGGGGGGGGGGGGGAGCGGGAAUAGACAGACUAACUGACUGCAGGGGCACUGACUUUGCACAACAGAGGAGUUUGCAAGCUGUGAGUUACACGUGAAUAUUACCAGCCAGCUGCAAACCGCAGCGUCUGUAAUGCUAGUCCCGCAGGUGCCUCCUGGGGCGGUCAAGAGAAACUGCUAGUGUGUCUCAUAUUUCCUCCCCCAUGCCCCAGCCUUUCUCCACUUUCCUCCUCCACUUCUGAAUGGGGACAAGAAUUUUCUCCCUUUCUCAUCUUUAGGCUUCUAGGCUGUCCCAUCCUUCUCUUAGCUGCCCCUAGCCAAUAUCUUGCAAGAGAUCAUUUGAUGCCCUGGGGGAGGAGGGAGUGGAGAGUCCUUAGCACCUGGAAACAUCUGUUCGUUUUUUCCCCAUAAAUUUAUUAUCCUGACCCCCCUCAUUUAUUUCCCUUCCAUUUCACUUAAAAUACGCCCCCCCCCACACACACACACCCUUAAACUACAACAGACAGAAGGGUAAUCUGGAAAAUAAUAUACCCCCUCCACCAACAUAGUCAAUACCACUUUUCCCUUUCCCAAUAAAACCAAGAAAUAACCAAAGAUCUGUUCUAUUACCCCUCCCCUCUCUGCACACCCUAUUAGUUGAGAGAGAGAGAGAGAGAGAGAGAGAGAGAGAGAGAGAGAGAGAGAGAGAGAGAGAGAGAGAGAGAGAGCGCAAACAACCCCCUAGACGUGGGGCUGAAUUGAUGGAAUUGUGAUUGUAGGAUUUCUCCACUUAGUCCCUGCCUCCUCUUUGCUCUCCAGCCACUCCAAAGUCUCUUCUCCUCUUUAAGCAGCAAUUUUUUCAAUCUCCCUCUUUCUCUUUUCUCCCCACCCCUUCCGUCUUUCUCUCCCCCCCUCCACAUAACCCCCUCGUUCACUCUUCUCUCAGAGUGGGGGAGGGGUAGGGGGAAAGAAACCCAAACUCCGAGCACCAGGCAGAGAUGUCGAAGAAACGCAAAACCUUGGAGGGUGGUGGUGGAGGAGGAUCCCCGCUCCCACCCGAGGAACCUACACCCUUGUUUGGGGGCAGCAGCGAGGAGCAAGGUAGGGAGGAGUGAAGGGGGAUGGGGGAGGAGAAAAAAAAAAGAAAAAAGGAAAAGGGAGUCAAAGCAAAAAUGAAACGUUUUGGAGUUGAAGAUCCCAGUACAGGAAUGCAUCAACUUGUCUUUCUCGUUAUCUCCCUGGGUCAAUAGAACUCAAGUUGACUUUUUGGGGGGUAAGGGAAGAUUUAAAAUUUGUCCUCAGUAAAUUGAGGUUGAACUGAAGGACUGGGAGAGGAUGUUGGCAAAACAGGUCUACAUUACAUGAACUUUAGGUUAAGGGGUGGGGGAGGAGAGAAAGAUUGGGUAAGGGGGUAAGAAGAGGCUGAAAGUUAUUGAUUAGGGCCAGUUUGCUGAUCAAGACAAAUUGUGAUCAGACCCAAAUCUUUGUCCUGCUUCCCAUUUGCUAGAUGUCAGUUCCAUUGGUGUGGGCAAAUCGUCUUUCUUAUUGAUUUGCAGGCUGUGUUAAUCUCUGUAUGCAGGACAGCUGAGCUUGGUUGAUGAGGGAUGAUGAUACCUGCAUAAUGACUGCUGGGUUUAAAGGAGUAGGGAAUGACAUGGAGUUCCUAGAUGCCCCCACACACCCAUUUCUAAGAUGCUUCAAAUUACGUCAUACAGGAGUUUAAUCCCUGCCCUUAUAAAACAUUGGCUUUGCAUCUGAUAGAAGUUAGUGCUUUGGUUUUCAGCAGAUGUAGGACUUUGCUCUCAUUUCAGGAGAAGAUGGGUGGUAACAGCUGUUGGGUACCUCUUUUUUUCUUAAUAAUGUCUAUGCAAAAAUAAAACUGAUGUGCAAUUGCCUAUGGAAAAAGAAAUAUUACUUAGAUAGGUGGUUUUCAGACUGAAAAGGCCCAGUAACUGCUUAUUUCCCUCUGAUCAUUCUGAAUUCAGUUAAAAGUAGGCCCAGAUGAACCAAAUCAAGCUAUUCCUGGGCUGUAGUUAAAAUGAAAGGAAGGGAGAACGACGUACAAAUAUCUGACAUUUUGUUAUAGCUGUGGAAAUGGUAGUAAUAGGACUCUAGGAUCAACUAAGAAGGACAUUUCUUUAAUGUUUCUUCCCCUUCAGAAACUCAGAAAUAGACCUUUUUGUUUAUUUGUAGCAGGUGCAGAAUUGAGCCUAGAAACAGGUAGUGAGAGAAGUGUAUUCUGUAAUAUGGAGUCAAUAGUCUUUUUUUUCUCUGGCAUGAUCAGAAGAAUCAUGUCAUCAAAGUUGCCCACAAGUCAAAAAGCUGUGAACUCCAGUCAUUACUAGAGCCUCUUGUAUGAGAUGUAUGCAUUAAAAAAUGCAUUUGUUUUUAGAUGAUUUCCUGCCAUUUUGCUUUGGCCUUUUAAGGCAUAGAUCUUAUUGAUGCUGUCCCACUUACGAGGAUGAUGGUUAUUGUUUUGACUUCUUUUCAGGUGUUAUUUUAAAAAGUUCAAUUAGUCAUUAAUUUUCACUGUUUAAGACAAAUUUGGUAUUUUGAGACAUUUUAACCAGAAACAAAUUACUUUAGCUCUUUGUUCUAUUUGGAUUGGGUAAUAUUAUUUUGCUUUGCUUGGAGAAGUCUUACCAUUUUAUCAAGGCUGGUCAUGGGACCAUCCUUAAAAGAGUUCUUGAUUUUUACACAACAGUUGGUUUGCAAGUCCACAGACCAUUAAUUUUCCUUUAAUUGUGUUUACCAAUUUUGUCCAUGAAAGGAGAUUGGCAAUUACCAUGAAAAAAGGGGGAGAAGGGAAUAUAUUUCAUUUCCCAUGAAUAACUUCAGCAUGGUUAUCAGUUUUUAAGGAAGUGAGAAUAGUAUCUUUAUUAAGUAGUUCAGAUCUUGUAGAAAUGUAGAGAAAAAGAGUCAAUAGAGGUUUGGCAAAGCAGUGAUGGGGUAAUAUUCUCUCAGAAACAAAUAUAAAAAUUAGAAAUGAAAGAAUUUGUAUCUAUGUCCAUGUUUAUACUUUCUCUUAGGCCAUAUUUUGAGUAAAAAAUUAGUCAGAGGCUAAAGAUCUUUCAUAGUUUGGGGGAUUGAAUAAAUUGUUAGGUGACUUUAAUUUGAUUUUCUCUUUUUUAUCUGACAAGGACAAAUGCUGAUGGAUAAUUAUUUUGCCUGUAAGUGCAUGCCUAACUGCAUUAACCACGAAGGGACUGUGUGUGCGCUGUACUGCAAUUUUAUAUUGGAUGUAUUUUUGUUGUGAAUUGUUGGCUGUGGUACAACUGACAUGGUGGAUGAUUAGAAACAACUUCCACUAUGUCUGCUCUUGAAGAGAAAUGGACAGAGUACCGUAUGACAUUUGAAAUUAGAAAAGGCCCUUAGUGCAUGUGACUUUUUUUUAAUGAUUCAACUCUUCCCUUUUUCUCCCUCAGCUUCACUUUGGUUAUUUUUCAUGUAUAUAUUAUAAGGACUUAUUUGAAGAGCAGCAGUUAAAGUUGCUAAAGAAUCCUAAAGAUCCAGAAUGCUAAAGAUCUUCCAAUGGGAGCUAAUAAAAUGAUUUUUUUGGUGUGAACAGGUUGGAAACAACAGAUUCUUGUUUAAAUUCUAACACUACCGGUCAGUUUCUAGCAUUAUUUUCAUUAGGGCAGUUCAGAAGCAUAUUUCAUUGAUCAUCUACAGCAAUUUUGAGGUAAUCUUCCAGCAGUUUGCCUGGGUUGAGAUUAUGAAAUAAUCCAUGAAUGUGCAGGCUGUUAGAAGUAUGUAUAACCAUCCUCUUGUUCUCUGUGCAUGGUGAAGCCUGGUGGUCUUUUGUUUCAUUUACUUAUUCAUAACCUGUACAUACCAGAAUGCCAUAUCUUUAACAUCCAUAGGGGAAAUCUUGGUGCUUUCAUGUCAGGUCCUUUGAUAAUAUUUUCUGGUUAUACUGUGCUAACCAUUUUUGUAAAGUAGCUCGUGUGAAUCCAGGAGAAUUUCUGCAUAGAGGAAGAGGAAUGUAUAAGUGAAUAACUGUGAAUAUAUAUAUAUAUAUAUAUAUAUGUAUAUAUAUUAGGUCAUUCCUCUGUCUGUUGUCAAUCUUUGGCACAUUCUGGAUUAUUAAAUUUUGUUUUCCUGGCUUAGUUUGUUGGACCCUACAUUGGAGAACUUGGAUAAUUAUCCCUGUGUAUGUAUCUGUGUGUGUAUAUGUGUUUGUAUUUUCCUGCUUGUGCACAAUUAGAGUCAGGAUUUAUUCUUAAUGUAACUUUUUCAUCCUUGUUUCAGAUGGCUUUCUGGCUUGGUGGCCAUGGGCAGAUGGGUCAACUCUGGAUAUAUAUAUAUAUAUAUUUUUUUUUUUUUCUCUUGAAACUGGUUGGGAAAACUUGGUGCAAAAAUGGUUUUUGGCCAUAAGUUUGUUUUGCUCUGUGUCUCACUGUUCUUUAUUACUCCAAAGCUAAAUCAAACCCUAGAGUAUAGUACAGAAUCUAUUAUGUAUAGGGAAGAUGAGCAUGUCAAUGAGUGAUCAAAACGGGGAGCUUAGAGGAGGUCCUAUGGAGAGAUAUUUAGUCAUUUUUAUUUUGUUGAAAUAGAAGGACCUCCUAUUUUAUUUACCCUUUAAUUUUUUCCUUCUAGAACCUGAAUUUAUGGAAAUUUUAGUUAUUUUAAGGUAAGAUGUAACAUUAUGCUGUACCAUAUGCAAUGUUUUUUAGCAAGAGUAUCAUCUUUUCCUUUCAAUUUUGAUUUCCUCCCAAAUUAUUGGGAGGAUAAUGUUUAAUCGUACAAUUCCCACCCUCACACCAUCAAUAACCCCCCAAACCCCUUAAGAACAUUGUCCAUGAGGGAAUAUUUCAGUAUUUUAAUUCUUAUGUUAAUCUCAUAAAAAUUUAAGACUAAAAUAAGCAUUGUCAAUUUUCAUAAGAUCAUAUAAGCAGGCCUGUUCUCUUGGUUUCUGUAACCCCAUAGUCCUAUUACAACCACAUGUCCCUGUGAAGGUGGGUAAUUUUGAAACUUGUAGAACUUUGGAAGGAUCUAAGACUAGGAAUCAGAAGACUAAAUCUUAAGUAUUGGCCCCUGAGCUUAUUAGCUGGAUAACUUUGAGCAAGUCUCUGAGUCUCAAUUUCCUCAUCAGUAAAACAGAAAACAUAGCUUUAUCCCUUACCUAGGUGGACAUGAUAAUAAAAUGCAAUAACAUAUGAAACUUUUUGUUGUAGCAAAGACCUGGAAACAAAGUAGAUGCUAUCGACUGGGGCAUGGCUAAACGUAUUGUGGCACACGGAGGUAAUGGAAUAUUACUGAACUGUAAGAAAUAAUGAAUAAAGAGAAGCAUUAGAAGACAUAUCAACUGAUGAAAAGCUAAGUCAGCAAAGACAGAAAAUGACUUAUACAAAAAUAAAUGGAAGAAAGCAAAAAUAACUGAAACUGGAUGUUAUUAUUACCCAAGCUUGAUCCAAAAGGAAAGAUUUAAAGAUAUACCUCCCUUUCUUCUUUGAAGAGGUUGAAGGAAUGAAACAUUGUAUAAUAUGCUCGGUUGAUGUUUUGCUGAACUAUGCUUUUUCUCUCUUAUUUUUGUUAUAGGACAUGGCUCUCUGGAAAGGAGAGAGGAGGAAAGGGUAUAUAUUUGGAAAUGUAUAUGAUAUAAAAAAACCACAAUUAUUGAUUAAACAUUCCACAUGUGAAAGCAAUUCAACAACUAUACAGCCUUAUAUUAAUAUGAUAUUAGUUAGCAACAUGUUUAAGCUAUAGGUGACUAUUUUGUAUCACUGAAUCACUUAAUGAAGAGAAUAUCUGAAUUUUACCGCUGUGUACUUUCUUGGUGCCUUAUAUAUGUACUGUACUUAUAAAAUCGGUAUCUAUACACCACCACAAAAAUAGUUUAAAAUGUCAGCAAUCAACUAAUUAUAGGUAUCCUUUUGACAAUGGGAUUUUUCCCAUUGAAGUUUCGAUGUAUCUCAGGUUGGCAGAAGAAGUUAAAUAGGAAUUUUGGAGGACUAUUGUGGAAGCUGUGGAUGAUACAAAAAAGUGUAGAAACUCAUGAAUAAGAUACACAUGUAGGAUUAUGUAAUUCUACAUAUUUUGGCUUUUAAUACCACAAAUAUACAUUAUGUCUUUUGUAAAGUUAAAAUAAGUAAAAAGGUAAAGUUUGCAAAACAAAACACAAAAGCCAGUAGAUGACACACAAAGGCUAGAAAUGAAGAGAUAUCUUCAUAUUGACCUAUAUAUAGUGAGUGGAUGACUAAACACUUAAUCCAAAUUUUACAAUAAGGUAUUAUAAACACUCAAUAAAAGAAAAAAAUCUAAUUUCUUCCAUGAUAUGAAGGAAGUACCAAAAAUUUAUGCUUGUAUUUUCCAGAUGGUGAGGGUGUUGUGACUCUAACUGCUGUGAGGUGGAAGGGAUUGUCCCUGUAUAUGGUUUACAUGAACCCUAGCAAUCAAUUGACCAGAUUGGCCAGUUUAGUCAUAUAUUUGUUUUGAUGAAGACACUAAGAGACAGCAUGGAAUAGCAGAAAGAUGGUGGACUUGGAGUUCUUGAGCACCUUGAUUCCAGAGUGACUCCCUCUUUACUGACCAGGGGACAAAUUACUUAAACUCUCUGAGCCUCAGUUUCCCCUUCUGGAAAGUGAGGAUAAUAGAUGUUCUAUAUACUUUUGUGAUUAUGAAAUGUGAUGUUGUGCAUGACCAUGACUUACAAACUGUAAAACACGCCAAGAAACAUUCUUCCUUUAUUGAAGCUACUAGUGCUUGUCAAUAAAUGUAUUCACAUUUUCAUAAUCAUGUUCAAAUUUCAUACAGUUUAUAUUUAGAAACAACAACAGGACCAGGACUCAUCGGCUUCAUGGAAAGAACCAUGGUAUAGGAUUGAGACAUCAUGAAGUGAAUUCCAAUUCAUCUGUGUGGCUUGAGGCAAUUCACCUAACUCCUCUGCACCCUAGUUUUCUCUUCUUUAAAAUGGACCUAAUUAUACCUUCUUUGAAAAUAUUACAAGGCUGUUGUCAUGAUAAAAUGAGAUAAUAUAUAGUGAAGCAUGUUGUAAACUGUAAAGUGCUUUGCAUGUAUAAGAGAUUAUUGUUAUCUAAUAGUGACAACUAAAGUCAAAGAAAAGAGUCUAUACAGGCUUUUCCAAAGCCUUUACUGCAAACUUCAGCAUCUCAAAACUGCACUAAAACUUUUGAGAUACCCUGAAUUAAUCUAACAAAAGUAGAAGUCUCAACAAAAUUAUACUUUUGAUUCACGAAUUUGCUCCUUGUUCUAUUCUGCUCUACCCAUUAGUGAUUUUGAGAUGCUUAGAUUUAAAAGUCUUAUGGUUGUUCUGUUUUCCUAUGGAAGGAAAGUAGUUGGAGGGAAAAGGGAGUAUCUCCAAGUUAUGAAGACUUGAGUUAAGAUGAUGAAAGAUAGAUUUAUUGGAUUCUGUUUGGGACAAUCUUGUGGCACUUCAUUUUUUUGUUUGUUUCUUAGGCAAACAUACCCAUGCAUUUGAAGUGGAGAAGUAGUUCAGACUCCUUAUAGAAUUUAGGAGGAUUGUGUCCUUCCUUUAGUUUUGUAAUUUUGACUCUCCUACUUCUGAGAUGGACAUGAUGAUGGUAACAUGUCUGCCUCACAAGGGUAUUAUAACGAUUAAUUAUCCUGUGAAAGUAAAUGUGUCAUAUAACUAUGAUAUACUCACUCCUUUUGAAAAGAACUUUAUAUUUGAGUAAUUGACUUAAUUUUUCCUUUCCUUGCUUUGAAAUUCAAUUAAAAAGUAUCAGUCAUAGACUCCAAGAUUUUUGGGGAAAAAACUAAUUCUAUCUUGUAUCAUACUUUUUUUAAAGUAUAGGGAUUCCAAAAAGAAAGAAAAGACAGUUUUUCUGCCCUCUAGGAGUUUACACAAGUCAUAUAUCCAUUAUUUGUCAUAAAUGAAACUUCAGCCUAGGUUUUCCUGAUGCUGGAGCCAACUCUCUGCCCCUUACACAUAAGCUUCCUCUCCGAGACACUUAAACAUUUGUUUUACUCAGUUAUUGAGUAGUUAGGACAAUGGAAACUUGCACUGUUGCAACUUAUUGACUACACAGUUCACAUCUACUCUUGACCUUAUAGACUUGAGGGAUAUCAUGACCCCAGGACCAUAGAUUUAGCGCUAGAAGGGACCACUUUCCCAUUUUACAAAUGAGAAAGCCAAGGCUAGGUCAAGUAACUUUCGCAAGAUUACAUGUGAUGAGCUCAGAAGUAAGAUUUGAACUCAGCCAAAAUAUUUCCAUGUCUCACUUUAAAAUAAAUUAAAAGUAAUUCCUUAAGAGGUUUUAUUUUUUUUUUUGGUCAAGUCAAGAAUCAUUUAUUAAGUGCCUACUAUAUGUCAGGCAUUUUUCUAUGUACUGGAGUUAGAAAGAAAGUAAAAAUUAGUCCUUGCUCUCAAGAUGCCCAUAGUCUGUGUACAAAUGAGCUAUACAUAGGAUAAAUUGGAGCUAAUCUCAGAAAUAAGGUACUAAGAUUAUGGAGGCCUGGUAAAGGCUUUAAAAAAUAAUAUUCAUUUUUUGGGUUAUGCAUGUAUUUUCAUGCAAAACAUAUUUCAAUAUUUUUGUAAGUGAAUUAUCAUAUAAAACCCAAACUCCAAAACAAAUGCCCAAAUAAACAGGUGAAAAAUUGUAUGUUUUCAUCUGUAUUCCAACUCCAACAGUUCUUUCUCUGGAGGUGGAUAGCAUUCUUUGUCAUAAGUUCCUCACAAUUGUCCUGGAAUAUUGUAUUGCUGAGAGUAGGUAAGUCUAUCACUGCUGAUCAUUCCACAAUAUUGCUGUUACUGUGUACGAUGUUCUUCUGGUCCUGCUUAUUUCACUCUGUAUCAGUUCAUGAAGGUCUUUCCAGCUCUUUCUGAAAUCAUCCUGCUCAUCAUUUCUUACAGCACAAUAAUAUUCCAUUACCAGCAUAUACUAUAAUUUGUUCAGCCAUUCCCCAAUUGAUAGACAUUCCCUCAAUUCCCAGUUCUUUGCCACCCCAAAAAGAGCAGCUAUAAAUAUUUUUGCACAAGUAGGUCCUUUCCCUCUUUUUUGGUCUCUUUGGGAUACAGACCUUUUAAGAGAUUUUAGAAGCAAUGGCAACUAGAUGACUCAGUAGAUUAAAUGCCAGGUCCAGAAACAGGGACUUGGGUUCAAAUCUGGCUUCAGACACUUCCCUGCUGUGUUAGCCUGGGCAAAUCACUCAACCCUAUUGCCUAACCCUUAUUGCUCUUUUGCUUUAGAACCAAUACACAUUUCUGAAUCAAAGACAGAAGGUAAGGAUUUUUAAAAAUUAUAAAAGUAGCUCAGGACUUCUGUGAAGACCAUAGUGUUAAAACAAAUAGCCCAUUUGUCUCUUCUCUAUUCAACCAAUAUUUCUAAAAAUGAAAAUUACUAAGCUAUUUUAGUUAAUUUAUUGGGGGGAAAAGCGGUAUAGUAACUUCUAAAUAAUGAACUAAAUGAAAGUAAUGAUGAUGAUGAUGAUGGCAAUAGUUUGCCAUCCAUUUGGAUACAAUUGUGUUUUCCCAACCCUGUACUAAAUAUAGGAAAAGCAUUCUUUCUUUUUUCUUUUUUCUUUCUUUCUUUUUUUUGGUAACCCUUGCCUUCUAUCUUGGAAUCAAUAAAAUGUAUUGGUUCCCAGGCAGAAGAGUGGUAAGGGCUAGGCAAUGGGGGUCAAGUGACUUGCCCAGGGUCACACAGCUAGGAAGUGUCUGAGGCCAUUUUUGAACCCAGGACCUCCCAUCUCUGGGUCUGACUCUCAAUCCAACUGAGUCACCAAGAUGCCCCUGAAAAGCAUUCUUUUUUACCCAUCAAUGACUGUAAAAGUUUAGGAAAUCUGUAAGCAGAGGCUGACCUUUGAAAAACUUUGUAUAGAGCAGUAAAAAUACUAGUGUAUCUGGGCUCUUCUAUUGUCUCACUACAUUUUCCAUAGUUUUGAAGUGUUUACAUCCAUAGCACAAAAAUAGCUGCUUUUGGUAGCAGAUGUGAACAUUGUGGAAAGACAAUGGGACCAAGAUAUAGCAGAUUUGGGUUGGACAGGUUGUUUAAGACCUCUGAGAUUGUUUCCUUAUCUGCACUUGGGUGUGUCUAAUGAUAGGUUUGGACUAGAUAGUCUCUUAGGUCUCCUCCACCUUCCACGUGACAUGAAUCUACUAUUAUUAUACUUGAUUGAUUUGUGUAGUGCCACAUGAAAAUUGCUUAAUUAUUUAACUUGGGGAAAACAGGCCAAAAUGAAACACCAAUGAACAAUUUCUUCAUGGUUAUUUUCCUCCAGAUUUUAGGAGAUGGCACUAUACCAGAGUUUUUGGGUUACUUUGCCUAUUUAAUUUUAAUAAUGAAAGAGAAGGAAGAAUAUUUUAGAAAUAAAGCCAAAUCCAUUUGCUGUUUAUAGAAAGAGGUGGUGACAUCUUCAUUAAAGACAAGUGCAUAUCAUGCUUUUUAUGACAUAAUUGGUAUACCAUAUUUUCUAUUCUUGGAUAUAAUGUACGUAUAUCAAUUAAUGGCCAGGUUUUUUAGGUAGGUGUUAGAAGACCACAUUAUGCAAAAAGAGUAACAACAUAAGAGGUGUUAUCACAGAAAUGUACUACAGUACAAAAAGAAAAAAGAUGGGUACAUCAUGUAGUUAUAAUCCAAACAUUCCAUUGUUAUCCAUGUGUUGCCAAAAAGAUGAUCAGAAAAAGUUUCCAGAACAUUGGUGGAUCUCUUGUGGUAGAUUUGUAAGAACAAAGAGCUUGUGCAAGCAGACAGCCAAGGAUGGUUUAUGAUCUGCAUUUUGGAAGAAUGUAAUCAUAUGGCCAAAAUUAUAGAUGUUUGAGUUUAUGUCCUCUCAACUCCCCACCCUGAGACUCUCAAGAAUUACUCCCUUUUAUUACACAAAUAUGGCAUUGAUAUCUAAACCAAGAAGAAAACAGUAGAGAAAUAAAAGUAUAAACCAA